UGGGCUAGACAACGGCGGUCCCCGAAGGGAAAAUCCUAUUUCUAGGACUGUCCGCCGUUGUCUAGCCCAGGUAAGGUUCUUCGCGUUGCGUCGAAUUGAACCACAUGCUCCACCGCUUGUGCGGGCCCCCGUCAAUUCCUUUGAGUUUUAGCCUUGCGGCCGUACUCCCCAGGCGGGGCGCUUAAUGCGUUAGCUUCGGCACGGACGGGGUCGAUAUCCGCCCACACCUAGCACCCAACGCUUACGGCUAGGACUAC
rnacentral:misc_RNA from 1 species